GACGAACGCUGGCGGCGUGCUUAACACAUGCAAGUCGAACGGAAAGGCCCUGCUUUUGUGGGGUGCUCGAGUGGCGAACGGGUGAGUAACACGUGAGUAACCUGCCCUUGACUUUGGGAUAACUUCAGGAAACUGGGGCUAAUACCGGAUAGGAGCUCCUGCUGCAUGGUGGGGGUUGGAAAGUUUCGGCGGUUGGGGAUGGACUCGCGGCUUAUCAGCUUGUUGGUGGGGUAGUGGCUUACCAAGGCUCUGACGGGUAGCCGGCCUGAGAGGGUGACCGGCCACAUUGGGACUGAGAUACGGCCCAGACUCCUACGGGAGGCAGCAGUGGGGAAUAUUGCACAAUGGGCGGACGCCUGAUGCAGCAACGCCGCGUGCGGGAUGACGUCCUUCGGGUUGUAAACCGCUUUCGCCUGUGCCGAAGCGUGAGUGACGGUAAUGGGUAAAGAAGCACCGGCUAACUACGUG
rnacentral:rRNA from 1 species